UAUGAUGUGCUUCUAUGUAGCCUGCUGCUUUGUGUAGGUGGAAGGAAGAACGGGCCGUUAUCUGUGUCAGAUUUCUCUGAUCAUUGUUCAAUUGUAAAAAAAGAAAAAUCAAUACCCAAUGCCUGCUACCUGCCUGGUAUUCUACUGACUACAGUGUCCCAGGUUCUCUACAUUCUACUGACUUCAGUGUCCCAGGUUCUCUACAUUCUACUGACUUCAGUGUCCCAGGUUCUCUACAUUCUACUGACUUCAGUGUCCCAGGUUCUCUACAUUCUACUGACUUCAGUGUCCCAGGUUCUCUACAUUCUACUGACUUCAGUGUCCCAGGUUCUCUACAUUCUACUGACUUCAGUGUCCCGGGUUCUCUACAUUCUACUGACUUCAGUGUCCCAGGUUCUCUACAUUCUACUGACUUCAGUGUCCCAGGUUCUCUACAUUCUACUGACUUCAGUGUCCCAGGUUCUCUACAUUCUACUGACUUCAGUGUCCCAGGUUCUCUACAUUCUACUGACUUCAGUGUCCCAGGUUCUCUACAUUCUACUGACUUCAGUGUCCCAGGUUCUCUACAUUCUACUGACUUCAGUGUCCCAGGUUCUCUACAUUCUACUGACUUCAGUGUCCCAGGUUCUCUACAUUCUACUGACUUCAGUGUCCCAGGUUCUCUACAUUCUACUGACUUCAGUGUCCCAGGUUCUCUACAUUCUACUGACUUCAGUGUCCCAGGUUCUCUACAUUCUACUGACUUCAGUGUCCCAGGUUCUCUACAUUCUACUGACUUCAGUGUCCCAGGUUCUCUACAUUCU